rnacentral:guide_RNA from 1 species
AAUUUUAUACAUCAAAAUAAACAGAUUGCGAUGAGAAAGGUUGGAUGUAAUCGAU